UACGGAGGGUGCAAGCGUUAUCCGGAUUCACUGGGUUUAAAGGGUGCGUAGGAGGGCAGGUAAGUCAGUGGUGAAAUCUUCGAGCUUAACUCGGAAACUGCCGUUGAUACUAUCUGUCUUGAAUACCGUGGAGGUGAGCGGAAUAUGUCAUGUAGCGGUGAAAUGCUUAGAUAUGACAUAGAACACCAAUUGCGAAGGCAGCUCGCUACACGAAUAUUGACUCUGAGGCACGAAAGCGUGGGGAGUCAAACAGGA
rnacentral:rRNA from 1 species